CACGUAGGGGGCAAGCGUUGUCCGGAUUCAUUGGGCGUAAAGAGCUCGUAGGCGGUUCGAUAAGUCGGGUGUGAAACCUCCAGGCUCAACCUGGAGACGCCACCCGAUACUGUCGUGACUAGAGUCCAGUAGGGGAGCGUGGAAUUCCUGGUGUAGCGGUGAAAUGCGCAGAUAUCAGGAGGAACACCGGUGGCGAAGGCGGAUCUCUGGGCCAUUACUGACGCUGAGGAGCGAAAGCGUGGGGAGCGAACAGG
rnacentral:rRNA from 1 species